GGUUGUGUGGUACCUUGUGGUAUGCACAUAAUAAAUUAUUGUAUUACUCUAUUACGUUUAGCGUGUAUGUUUACAUUGAGUAUCUGUCAUAUGUGGAGAUGUUGUUAUUGUUGUCUAGAGUGUGAAUCAUUGUAUGUUAUAUUAAAGUAUCGGUAAUAAAGUGUAUACAAAUAAUGAAUACAGUUGUUGAAUAAUCAUUACAGAGAAAGAUUCUCACAUUGGCGACGAGAACGGUGAACAGUGCAUGUGAAAUUAGUUUAAUUUCGGUUCGGGAAGUGUUGUCUGGAAAAAGAAAGAGAUGAGUGGUGUGUGUGUGUGGUGCAUGCAGAGUGGUGAUGACCUCCAGGUGAUGACUUGUGAUUGAAUUUCAACAUUGGAAUCAAAAAGGUACAACCACAAGUAACGGCCAAGUAAUUUACCAAAAUGCCGAGCAGAGAUGGAUGACCAAAUGGAUGACUGUACUUCUAAUUUUGAUGUGAGACUGAAGCGAGACGUUUAUAAACUGAGGAGACUAUAAGCGAAACAACGUGGAGUGACCUUGCUGCGGAUCUGGAGAAAAAACGAGAUGUGGUACCUUGUGGUAUGCACAUAAUAAAUUAUUGUAUUACUCUAUUACGUUUAGCGUGUAUGUUUACAUUGAGUAUCUGUCAUAUGUGGAGAUGUUGUUAUUGUUGUCUAGAGUGUGAAUCAUUGUAUGUUAUAUUAAAGUAUCGGUAAUAAAGUGUAUACAAAUAAUGAA